AUCAAACCUUCAAGUGGUCAAAAGGUAAUUAACAUUAUGGAUAAUGAAUUUUAUCCAUGUCAGUAGCCUUUUAAAUGAAUGAUAAUUCUGUAACCAGCCGUAAGUUAAUUUCUACAUGUUAUGUGCAAUUAGUUUGAGAAACAAUUGCUUAAUUAAAUUUUGCAAUAUGUCAGUGUUCUAGAGCUUAUUUUAUUGUAACAUGCUUUCAGAUGCUAAAAUUUGUGAGCUACUUCCUACACUGCAGUUUCGCUUUGUAGUAAUGGGAA
rnacentral:misc_RNA from 1 species